UACGUAGGGUGCAAGCGUUGUCCGGAAUUAUUGGGCGUAAAGAGCUCGUAGGCGGUUUGUCGCGUCUGCUGUGAAAUCCCGAGGCUCAACCUCGGGCCUGCAGUGGGUACGGGGCAGACUAGAGUGCGGUAGGGGAGACUGGAAUUCCAGGUGUAGCGGUGAAAAUGCGUAGAUAUCUGGAGGAAUACCGGUGGCGGAAGGCGGCAUCCUGGACCGACAUUGACGCUGA
rnacentral:rRNA from 1 species